rnacentral:rRNA from 1 species
CCUACGGGGGGCAGCAGUGAGGAAUAUUGGUCAAUGGACGCAAGUCUGAACCAGCCAUGCCGCGUGCAGGAAGACGGCUCUAUGAGUUGUAAACUGCUUUUGUACGAGGGUAAACGCAGAUACGCGUAUCUGUCUGAAAGUAGCGUACGAAUAAGGAUCGGCUAACUCCGUGCCAGCAGCCGCGGUAAUACGGAGGAUGCGAGCGUUAUCCGGAUUUAUUGGGUUUAAAGGGUGCGUAGGCGGACUGUUACGUCAGCGGUAAAAGCCCGGGGCUCAACCCCGGCGAGCCGUUGAAACUGGCUGGCUUGAGAGGGCGAGAGGUAGGCGGAAUGCGCAGUGUAGCGGUGAAAUGCUUAGAGAUUGCGCAGAACUCCGAUUGCGAAGGCAGCAUACCGGAGGUGAUCUGACGCUGCGGCACGAAAGCGUGGGUAUCGAACAGGAUUAGAUACCCGGGUAGUC